rnacentral:rRNA from 1 species
ACGAACGCUGGCGGCAUGCCUAACACAUGCAAGUCGAACGAGACCUUCGAGUCUAGUGGCGCACGGGUGCGUAACGCGUGGGAACCUGCCCUUAGGUUCGGAAUAACUCCCCGAAAGGGGUGCUAAUACCGGAUAAUGUCUUCGGACCAAAGAUUUAUCGCCUUUGGAUGGGCCCGCGUUGGAUUAGCUAGUUGGUAGGGUAAAAGCCUACCAAGGCGACGAUCCAUAGCUGGUCUGAGAGGAUGAUCAGCCACACUGGGACUGAGACACGGCCCAGACUCCUACGGGAGGCAGCAGUGGGGAAUAUUGGACAAUGGGCGAAAGCCUGAUCCAGCAAUGCCGCGUGAGUGAUGAAGGCCUUAGGGUUGUAAAGCUCUUAUACCCGGGAUGAUAAUGACAGUACCGGGAGAAUAAGCUCCGGCUAACUCCGUG